rnacentral:sRNA from 2 species
GUCAGGAGAGUUUGAAUUUACAUAUUUCCGGUAAAACUCAAUUUGACAUGCCAUAGACAAUAAAAACGGAAAAUAUUUCGGGUUUUUGACUAAAACUCCCCGUCUAGCAAGCGGGAUAGCAAGUUCUUAUUUUAGACUUUGGUGCCUGGAGCAAGCAGAGCGGACUCCGAAUCCGAAUACCGAUCGUUCUUGGGGGCUGCUCGACUGCCAACCGGUUGAAAUGGCCAAGGUCAACUCGACCUUUUAAGGAUUAGCUCUGUUAUCGCCCUGAAAUUCCCCUGUCAGGAUCCUCAGAGUCCCCUGCUAGCGUCUUCCAGCCGCGGGGUCAAAUGGAACAAGAAAGGAUCAGUGCUUUCAGCAGGGCGGGAAUACCGAGUCGCCCGCGGAACCCAUAAGCCCCAAAAGAGGGUCUGAAUCGUGGCUUGUAUAGUUAUCUGCCAGAUUAUUGCUUGGUCAUUCGAUCCUGGCCCAUCUUGUCGCAGUUGGAUGCACCGUUCCUGCUGAAGGAACCGUGUUGCAUGACUUAGCGUGGCAUGGGCGUGGGCGAUCCUGCGGCUCGUUCGUUUGUUCUGGGAUAACCUUUUUAGCUGAGUUCAGUUCCGAUUUCCAAUCGUUUUUGAUUUUGCAAUCUUUGUUUUCUUUCGGUCGGGCUGUUUCUGGAUCAUUUUGUGGCUGUUUUCGUUGUAUCACGCAUUUAUUUUUAUAUUUUUCUCGGAUGAUUACUGACCGGGAUUAUGAAGUAUUAGUCACAACGAAGAUGAUAACUAACCAAAGGAUACCUUAAGAUCCAGGUAUCUGGUGUAUCGAUUUGUAUCUCUCAUUUGGCGUUUAUGUGUGGCUAGGCAGGACUUUUUGUUUGAGGAAAUGAAAACGGCGCUAUAUAUAUCUUGCGAUGAUUUCUUCCUUUCUGCCUGAUAUCCUCGUUUUUCUUUCUUCACACCAAAGCAGAUAAACAUAUUUUUAAUUUCUAUUUCGAAUUCUUUCAUUCACCCAGAUAUAUAAUAAUUCAGCAUCUUUCUUUAAGCCUUGCGUCCAACUUUAUAAAAUACUUUUUGUUUGAUUUUAUCUCGAAACUUCCUUUAUUGAUAUAUUUAUCAUCUUUAUCUGGACUAAAGACUCCAAACCAAAAGCCAGAGUCAUAUCGACAACCAACGAGAAUACACCACAUGGGCCGUGGAGGUUACAACUGAAGCAGCAUUUACAACGUAAAGCAGCCCGGGGAAUCCACGACCGAGUCAAAAUCGUCUCGAUCUCAUUCCAAAUCAAUCGGCCGCAAAUUAGAGUCAUCAAAGCAACACCCACGUGCAACACAGACGCAACCUUUCGCGCAGCCUGCGCUCUAUCCGAAUGCAAACACCGAUGGGACGUGGUGGUUACAACUGUCCUAUCGAGCGAUCUAUAUCCUCAAACACCAUGACACAGUUAUAUUUGCAAGGACGGGGCGGUUACAAUGACGUGAACGAUGGCGAUAACGACGAUUCAUAGCCGAAGCGUGAAUGAGAAGAGUGUGGACGGAGGGGCAAGUCUUGAAUUUGCGACAGGAAGUCAAGAGGAGGAAAGGCAAGAUAGAUUGGUGGGAUAGACGUUCUAAAGCUCGCUUUACGACGCGACGACGGAGUUUUUGAUUACGGGUUAUUUUGCCGUUCUUAGAUUUUUUUUUUGACGGAACUGAAACCUACUACACUCAUUUGCCGACACAGAAUCUGUGGGCGGUUUCAUCGUCAGUAUCUCGGCUGUUGUCACGAAUGGAAGUGUGGGCCAAUUGGUGGGAGGGAAUACUUUUCGAAUACAACUCCUAGAACAUCCUCCACGUCCCCGCUCUCCCCACGACCCGUGAUUUUCGCCAGACAAUCGGCCGCGAACCUAAGAUGUUCCGCCGCUGUUACAAUAUCGAAAUUCACCUCAAUUUGUUCAGCGUUUGCAGCAUUAUCAGGAGUUUGGCACGUUUGGGAUAGAAAGUCGUUUAAGUGCUGGACACAUUUUUGUAAAUUAGAUCUUUGUCGAUGGGUGACUCCCAGCGAGUCUUCCCAGUAUAAUUUAUCAAAUUGCUCAUUUCCAUUAUCCAAUUCAGACGGCGUCGACAUCCUUUUAAAAGUCCGAAUUAGUUCCCCAAGAAAUUUUUGUAUGUUGCCGGGGUCGGCCUCUUUGGAUACCUCGUUCUCGGCCUCCCUGCACGAAAUUAGGAAAAUCUGAUCUUGGGUAAGGCGGGGUUCCACGGAUGAGAUUUCCUCAGUCAAGCUAUCCACAAGUUCUUGCUGUGUUCUAGCCGUAUAGGUGGUUGGAGAGUAUUUGUCAAACUUGUUAACUGCCACAAUCAUGUGCUUCUCAAGGGCUAUACAACUGCGAACGGCGUCAACAACUUCCGGCUCGAGGACCAACUUGACGCCAGUCCCGUUAUCAGAUUCCUCCAAUGAAAGAACCACAAUCACAACGUCCGAUUCCAGUGCGCGUGCCUUGGCUCUUCGAAUCCCUUCUUGUUCCACUGCACCAAUGGGCAUCGAGCCAGACCGGGCUAUGUGGUC